rnacentral:antisense_RNA from 1 species
CUAAAUCAAAAUGCAAAGAUUUUACUAACUUUCUAUUAAAAAAUGGCUUUAUUAACCAAAAACUAGAAUCCAAAGAAUAUAAAAAUGAAGAUUAUUUAGUGGUGGCCACGACUGGACUUGAACCAGCGACCACUACCA